rnacentral:misc_RNA from 1 species
AAUCUCUCAAAGGAUUAGUCAAUCUAUCCUUUGGAUUUUGGGUCUUGCUGUGAAGUGUUUCCCAGCUUACCUUGAAAAUAUUAGCAAGCUUUGUUUUGGUCAUCUCUAAUGAGGCGUUCUAAUUUAUCCAAAGAGCCUUAUUUUGACUACUUGCUUCUAACCAUCCCAUUGAAGGGAUAUAUUGGUUCUCAAUGAGUUCCAAGCCUGUA